GGCACUUUGGCUGAGUGGUUAAAGCGAGAGAUUCGAAUGGUGACAACCGUGCGAAACAUCUCUUCCUCUCUGAGGGCGCAGGUUCGAAUCCUGCAGGUGUCG
rfam:Punctularia strigosozonata HHB-11173 SS5 unplaced genomic scaffold PTNSTscaffold_22, whole genome shotgun sequence.